GGAGAGGUGGCAGAGCGGUCGAUCGCGCAGGUCUUGAAAACCUGUGGGGUUUAUAGCCCCCGUGGGUUCGAAUCCCACCCUCUCCG
rnacentral:tRNA from 1 species